rnacentral:rRNA from 1 species
CCUACGGGAGGCAGCAGUAGGGAAUUUUCGUCAAUGGGCGCAAGCCUGAACGAGCGAUGCCGCGUGAGUGAAGAAGGUCUUCGGGUCGUAAAGCUCUGUUGCGGGGGAAAAAAGGAAGCAUCAGGAAAUGGGUGCUGACUGAUGGUGACCCGCCAGAAAGGCACGGCUAACUACGUGCCAGCAGCCGCGGUAAUACGUAGGUGGGGAGCGUUAUCCGGAAUGAUUGGGCGUGAAUGGUGCGCAGGCGGUCCUGCAAGUCUGGAGUGAAACGCAUGAGCUCAACCCAUGCAUGGCUUUGGAAACUGGCAGACUCGAGAGCGAGAGAGGGCGGUGGAACUCCAUGUGUAGCGGUAAAAUGCGUAGAUAUAUGGAAGAACACCAGUGGCGAAGGCGGCCGCCUGGCCUGUUGCUGACGCUGAGGCACGAAAGCGUGGGGAGCAAAUAGGAUUAGAUACCCGUGUAGUC